AACGAACGCUGGCGGCAUGCCUAACACAUGCAAGUCGAACGAGACCUUCGGGCGUAGUGGCGCACGGGUGCGUAACGCGUUGGAAUUUGCCCUUCGGUUGGGAAUAACUGAGAGAAAUUUCAGCUAAUACCUUAUAACGUCUUCGGACCAAAGAUUUAUCGCCGUGGGAUGAGCCCGCGUAGGAUUAGGUAGUUGGUAGGGUAAUGGCCUACCAAGGCGACGAUCCUUAGCUGGACUGAGAGGAUGGUCGGCCACACUGGGACUGAGACACGGCCCAGACUCCUACGGGAGGCAGCAGUGGGGGAUAUUGGACAAUGGACGAAAGUCUGAUCCAGCAAUGCCGCGUGAGUGAUGAAGGACUUAGGGUUGUAAAGCUCUUUUACCCGGGAAGAUGAUGACAGUACCGGGAGAAUAAGCCCCGGCUAACUCCGUG
rnacentral:rRNA from 1 species